AUACGUAGGGGGCAAGCGUUAUCCGGAUUUACUGGGUGUAAAGGGAGCGUAGACGGAAGGCCAAGUCUGAUGUGAAAGCCCGCGGCUCAACUGCGGGACUGCAUUGGAAACUGGUCAUCUGGAGUGCAGGAGGGGUAAGCGGAAUUCCUAGUGUAGCGGUGAAAUGCGUAGAUAUUAGGAGGAACACCGGUGGCGAAGGCGGCUUACUGGACUGUAACUGACGUUGAGGCUCGAAAGCGUGGGGAUCGAACAGGAUUAGAUACCCUGGUAGUCCACGCCGUAAACGAUGGGCGCUCGUCGUCGGCGGCAGACAGUCGGCGGCCAAGCGAAAGCGAUAAGCGCCCCACCUGGGGAGUACGGUCGCAAGGCUGAAACUCAAAUGAAUUGGCGGGG
rnacentral:rRNA from 1 species